GAUGAACGCUGGCGGCGUGCCUAAUACAUGCAAGUCGAGCGAACAGACGAGGAGCUUGCUCCUCUGACGUUAGCGGCGGACGGGUGAGUAACACGUGGAUAACCUACCUAUAAGACUGGGAUAACUUCGGGAAACCGGAGCUAAUACCGGAUGAUAUAUUGAACCGCAUGGUUCAAUAGUGAAAGACGGUCUUGCUGUCACUUAUAGAUGGAUCCGCGCCGCAUUAGCUAGUUGGUAAGGUAACGGCUUACCAAGGCAACGAUGCGUAGCCGACCUGAGAGGGCGAUCGGCCACACUGGAACUGAGACACGGUCCAGACUCCUACGGGAGGCAGCAGUAGGGAAUCUUCCGCAAUGGGCGAAAGCUUGACGGAGCAACGCCGCGUGAGUGAUGAAGGUCUUCGGAUCGUAAAACUCUGUUAUUAGGGAAGAACAAAUGUGUAAGUAACUGUGCACAUCUUGACGGUACCUAAUCAGAAAGCCACGGCUAACUACGUG
rnacentral:rRNA from 1 species